GUUCAACAUUGAAAGAUGGCUUUUGCUAUCACUUACAGAUGGACCCGCGGCGCAUUAGCUAGUUGGUGAGGUAACGGCUCACCAAGGCAACGAUGCGUAGCCGACCUGAGAGGGUGAUCGGCCACACUGGGACUGAGACACGGCCCAGACUCCUACGGGAGGCAGCAGUAGGGAAUCUUCCGCAAUGGACGAAAGUCUGACGGAGCAACGCCGCGUGAACGAUGAAGGCCUUCGGGUCGUAAAGUUCUGUUGUUAGGGAAGAACAAGUACCAGAGUAACUGCUGGUACCUUGACGGUACCUAACCAGAAAGCCACGGCUAACUACGUGCCAGCAGCCGCGGUAAUACGUAGGUGGCAAGCGUUGUCCGGAAUUAUUGGGCGUAAAGCGCGCGCAGGUGGUUUCUUAAGUCUGAUGUGAAAGCCCACGGCUCAACCGUGGAGGGUCAUUGGAAACUGGGGAACUUGAGUGCAGAAGAGGAAAGUGGAAUUCCA
rnacentral:rRNA from 1 species